rnacentral:lncRNA from 1 species
UUUUUGUGGUGUUUGAUAUGCGUAAUUAGUUGGUGUUUGUUGUGUUUGUGUGUGGUAGUUUGGUUGUUGGUAUGAGGUGUGUUGUGUUUGGAUUUGAUAGUUUAGUUAAUGGUAUUGGGUGUACUGUGUUUGUUGUUGGAAGGGUUGUGUAUAUUGAGUUUGUGGUUCAUAUUGGGUGGAAGUCGACGUUUGAGUAUAAUGUUGGUUGGGAGGGAUUUGUGUUUGGGGGUUUGUUAAUUGUGGUCGUGGUGGAGUCGACAUCUGUGAUGCGGAACAGUGCUGACGGGGCUCAAUAAAUAGUUGUUCUAUUGACGUGUAUUGUAAUGGAAGAU